GAUGAACGCUGGCGGCGUGCCUAAUACAUGCAAGUCGAGCGAACAGACGAGGAGCUUACUACUCUUACUUUAGCGGCGGAAGGGUGAGUAACACGUGGAUAACCUACCUAUAGGACUGGGAUAACUUCGGGAAACCGGAGCUAAUACAGGAUGAUAUAUUGAACCGCAUGGUUCAAUAGUGAAAGACGGUUUUGCUGUCACUUAUAGAUGGAUCCGCGCCGCAUUAGCUAGUUGGUAAGGUAACGGCUUACCAAGGCAACGAUGCGUAGCCGACCUGAGAGGGGGAUCGGCCACACUGGAAGUGAGACACGGUCCAGACCCCCACGGGAGGCAGGAGUAGGUAAUCUUCAGCAAGGGGCGAAAGCCUGACGGAGCAACGCCGCGCGAGUGAUGAAGGUCUGCGGUCCGGAAAAUUAUGUUAUUAGGGAAGAACAAAAGCGUAAGUAACUAUGCACGUCUGGACGGUACCUAAUCAGAAAGCCCCGGCAACCUACUG
rnacentral:rRNA from 1 species